rnacentral:lncRNA from 1 species
GAAAGUAAACAAGUAUGAAGCAUGGUAAUUAAAAAGUUAAAACAAAUAUAUGUACAUGAUACAAUAGUCAUCUGAACAGUAAACACAAGUCCUCAAAUAUCGAUCACUUCCUCAAAUGGAGUAUAUAAUAUGGUCCCUACCAGAUAGGUCAUCACAACUCAAGUCAGGAAAACUCACGGAUACAAGGCUUCUUGUCAAAUAUUACACACGGUUCUGCUGAGGCGAACGGCCCAAUCCCAUAAGAGUGUGGUACAUAAUACUGUCGAGGCGAACGAUCCGAUCCCAUAAGAGUGUGGUACAUAAUCUUGCCAAGGCGAACGACUUGAUCCAAUAAGAGUGUGGUACAUAAUCCUGCCGAGAUGAACGACCCGAUCCCAUAUGAGUGUGAUACAUAAUCCUACCAAGGCGAACAACCCGAUCCUACUAGAAUAAGAAGCUUUAACGGGUCCUUGACCCCCACUAACGAAUAUAUAUAUGUGAGUUAUGAAAUUUAAGGAAACUUUUUGAUGAAUACGCACAACAAGGGAGAAAUUCGUAAAGGAAGAAUAAUUUUCCGCCGCUAAUCAAGUAGCUCGUCGAAUAUCUAAAAAGCGAGUACGAUACUUUACGCGAGUCUAGUCUCAUGAUAAAUGUAAAUAAAAGCAUUUAAACAUGCAAGAAAGACUCAAAUAGUAUAAUUUAAACAUGGCGUGAGUCUAAGUCUACCCGGACAUAAUUAGAAAUCCUAGCAUAUGCACGGACACUCGUCACCUCAUAUGUGUGUAUCUCUCACAACAUGUAGAACAUAAGAAUAUAUCACCUACGGGGUAAAUUCCCCCUCAGAAGGUUAGACAGGAUACUUAUCUCGCUCUGAAAUUCCAUAACCGGCUCCAACGCCUCUCUAGCACCUCACACCAAUGCCCAUCGAUCAGAAACUAGUCAAACAAUCAUGAAAACCAAUAAAAAUAUACUCCAACAUCAUAAUUAAUUAAUUUAUAACACUUUCCAACUCCGCUCGAAAAGUCAACUAAGUCAACCCUCGGGCCCACAUGCCCGAAUGAAAAAAGAGUGAGCCAAAUCCCGUACUCAACAAAGCAUUCUGCCCUGCGAUCAUCGCACAUGCGGCCAAAUAAUCGGACUUGCGACUCCGCACUUGCGAAAAACAUCCAUUGCAGGUGCGGUUCCUUCUAAGGCCAGCCAAACCUCCUUCUGUGAAAAAUUUCUCGCUUUUGCAAGCCUACACUAGCCCUUCCCAACUCCACUUCUGCGGAGGAUUUAAUCGCGCAUGCGGAAGCGCGCCUGUGGUUGAGCCUCCGCAUCUGCGGAAGGCCAUGCCUCUUCGCCUUUGGCUUCUGCAUUCCACUGCCCGCAUCUGCGAGCUCACAGGUGUGGUGGAUUCCUUGCACCUGAAAAUCCAGCCAGCCUCAAUCACAUCCGCUUCUACGACCCCUGGGCCGCAUCUGCGGUCUCGCACCUACGGCCAAAACCUCGUAGGUGCGAUUAUACCAGAAACCUUAAGCUUCAGCAAUUAUGAUUUGAUUCCAAUCUAAUUCACAACCGAGGCCCCAGGGACCCCCAUCCAGCCAUAACAAUGCAUCCUAAAACAUGAUAUGAACUUAGUCAAAGCCUCCAAUCACGUCAAACAAUAUCACAAUUUAUGACUCGACGGCCAAAACCUUUAUUUCAACUUUCAAACUUUAUCGAACGCAUCCGAAUUAUACUUAAAUAUCCUAGAAUGAUGCCAAACUUUACGUGCAAGUCAUAAAUCACAAUAUGUAAUUCCAAGGCUAGGAAUCCCUAACGUACAUCGAUAACACCAAAGUCCACUUCAAGUCCAACUUAGGAAUUUUUAAAUUUUUCAAAAUGCCAACUUUUCACAAUAAGCGCCGAAAUGCUCCCGGGCGACCCGAUACUCAACCCGAACAUACGCCCAAGUCCAAAAUCAUUAUACGAACCUAUUUGAACCUUCAAAUUCCGAUUCUAGAUCAUUUACUCAAAAGUCAAACCCUCGUCAACUCUUCCAACUUAAAGCUUCCAAAUUGAGAAUUUCCUUCUGAAUCAACUCUGAACUUCCCAGAAUUCAAUUUCGACCAUACGUACAAGUCAUAAUACAUAAAGUAAGUCUACUCAAGGCCUCAAACCGCCUAACGAUGCGCUAGAGCUCGAAAUGACCGGUCGGGUCGUUUAAAAAAGGUUAAAACGCGCCUACUAAUUGCCUAGCAUUUAAAUUAGUUAAAUUAGUUAAACAAAUAAACUGACUUUUUGGAUUUUUAUUGUUGAAAAGAUAUGGAGAAUCAAUGAUGGGUCAGUUCACUUGUAUUGGACAAGCUGGCCUAUUUUGGUUAUCACAUGGCCAUUGGGCCAAAUUAUUUGGUACUAAGCUAUUGGCAUCUUUUGAAAUUAAAUGGCCAUUGGGCCAAUUGCUGGUUAUUCUCUUUGGGCCUAGUAUUUUGUUUUUCCUAGUAUUUGCUCCCCAUUGUAAGUCACAUGAAAGAUAAGGCCGAAGGCACAAACAAACAAUCAACUAUUGGUACUAAAAUUAAAUUAAUUAAUAAUAUUGGAAUGACACAAACUAAAGACAAAAGUCAAUUAAGAAUCAUAUGGGCCCACAACCUUUGAAAUUCUUCCCAACAAAGCACACUUGACAUUUAGUUUCCACAUUCAACUCUUAAUUAACAAGUCCUAUUUAAUUCCUACAUUUAAGUCCUAACUAACAAGGCAAAUAUGGAUCUUCUUUCAACUACUUGACAUUUAAGUGAAUUGAAAUUACGUCCUAUCAAUUUGUUAAUUAACCUAUAACCUAGCAAGAAACAAUAAAAUGAGAACGCCUAAUCAUUGAAGGCAUCAUUUUAACCUCACACUAUGCUUAAACCAAAAACUAACCUCCAUGAGCACAAAUAAAAUAAUCCAAAUUAAAAAAAUAGAACAUGAAAAAUUGAAACGCGGCUUCGAACACUAUUGAAGCGAGAUGGCAGUAAAGAAGAGUGAACUUAAAUGAAACAAAAUAUGCUUAAAACUUUCACACAUUUGGACAGAACACAAAAGCCAAUUUAGUUUAAAGCGUUGCUGAAAAUAGUUCCAUUUUUAUUAUUUGAACAGCUAUAUACGACAAGCAUAACCACUUUUGUCUAUGGAUCGAAAUUAUUAAGCCGGCCGAGGAUGGUCAGAUUUGAUAAGCACCAAUAUCCAUGACUGAAAAAGAUAUAGCAUGUACGUCUCUAAGAUUUGAAACAAUAACAGUUAUUUAAAACCUCCACAACUUAGAUUUCAAACAUACGAACAUCCAUAUUUGCAUACAUUAAGCUAAGGAAUAUCUCACACGGUGGAAGUAAACAUUCAAAACAUCAUGAUUCUCAUUCAUUUUUAUCACAGCAGUCAUAUGGAGGUUAACAGAAUACCUUGUUGUAGAAUUUCGAGAAAGAAACAACAAGAAAAUCUUUUGAUAUCAAAGCUACUUGGGACCAACAAGCAGAACCAGCAGUGAAAAGCAGCAGCAAAUCAGCAGUAGCAGAACCCAAGAAUACCCCAGAAAAUCUAGCAAGAAGCACCGGAGGCUAGAAACUAUGUAAUUUCAGAAGUUAAAAAACAAGAUCUUUUGUUUUCUCAAAGAUUAUGCACUCAGAAGAUCACUCACAAAGAUUUCAUUUCUUCAACUUACUUUGAUGUUUAGCAGAGGCCUUUUUACUUUUUUUAGUUGUGUCUUUCUUAGAGUGUAAAGGAUGAUCUCCAAAUGUGUGAGAAAUGAACUCUUAGGUAGGAAAAAAAAAACAUCUUUUGGACAG